AGCGAAGGAGCGGAAGGAAUAGGGGAUUAGGUUAGUCUUAGCUUGUCCAUCCUAGUGCUUCCUAUCCUGUCGUAUCCUGUGUAUCCUAUAGGAGUUCAUCUACUUUCUCUAUCUAUCUAUCUAUCUAUGUAUCUAUCUAUGUAAUUUUCUCUUUUCCUUUCUUUUUCUUAAUUUCUUUCUCUUUUUUUUCUCUUGUUUUUCUUUCUCUCUCUUUAUCUAUCUAUCUAUCUAAUUAUUUAUCUGUUUAUCUAUGUCAUUUUCUCCUUUUCUGUAUUUCUUUCCCUUUUCCUUUCUUUUUUCUCAAUUUCCUUCUCUUUUUUUUCUCUUGUUUUACUUUCUCUUUAUCUAUCUAUCUAUCUAAUUACCAAUCUGUUUAUCUAUGUCAUUUUCUCCUUUUCUUUAUUUCUUUCUCUUUUUCUCUAUUUCUUUCUCUUUCCCUUUCUUUCUUUCUUUCCUUCUUUUCUCUCGUCUCUCGUCUCUCUCUCUCUCUCUCUCUCUCUCUCUCUCUCUCUCUCUCUCUCUCUCUCUCUCUCUCUCUCUCUCUCUCUCUCUACCGUGUUCCUUCUAUCUAACUUCCAUUUCUUUUUCCACUAUCAUACAGGUCGUGAGGUGACAGGUAAGUGUGCUGGGGAUAAACAGGUGUCAUACAGGUGAUACACACAGGUAGCACAGGUGUGACGGUGACACGGAAUACAUGAGGGGAGUCUACAAUGCACAGGUAUUACGCUAAACCCGCCCCAGUGUGUCAGACAGGGUCCCUCAGGUGAUAGAAAGUCUUACAGGUAAAAAAAAAUGAUAGCACAGGUAUAGAAGGAUAACGUGAAGUAGUAAUAGUAACAUGGAGAGUAAAAGUAGUCCAGAAAAUUAAGGUGUUGAAGAAGAGUCGUCCCACUGUUGCUCAGGUAAUUGGAAAGUCGUACAGGUAAUUAAACGAUGGUACAGGUAAAGCAGGAAGAUGUGAAGGUGUAGUAUUGACACGUAGGGUUAAAUUACAGUUCCUAGUAUACAGGUGUGCAAGGAAACCCAAUAUACUGUCAGGUAGGUCGGACAGGUGAUUGGAAAGUCGCACAGGUAAUUAAACGAUGGUACAGGUAAAGCAGGAAGAUGUGAAGGUGUAGUAUUGACACGUAGGGUUAAAUUAGAGUUCCUAGUAUACAGGUGUGCAAGGAAACCCAAUAUAGUGUCAGGUAGGUCGGACAGGUGAUUGGAAAGUCGCACAGGUAAUAAGAAGACUCUACAGGUAUGACCAGAAGACGUAUAGAAGUAAAGAAGGUAGAAAAAAUAAAGUCCAUGACAUACAGGUGUUGGAGAAGACUAGUCCCAGUGUCGUUCAGGUGUUUGGAAAGUCGUACAGGUAAGAAAAUUAUAGUACAGGUAAGGCAGGAAGACGCAAAGGUGUAGAGUGACAUGCAGGGUAAAAAUAGUCCUCAGAAUACAGGUGUGCAAGGAAGCAUAAUGUAGUGUCAGGUGUGUCGUUCAGGUGUUUGGAAAGUCGUACAGGUAUGAAAAUUAUAGUACAGGUAAGGCAGGAAGACGCAAAGGUGUAGAGUGACAUGUAAGGUAAAAAUAGUCCACUAAAUACAGGUGUGCGAGGAAGCCUAAUGUAGUGUCAGGUGUGUCGUUCAGGUGAUUGGACAGCCGCACAGGUGAUAAGAAGGUGGUCACACAGGUAUGGCAGGAAGACGUAAAGAAGUAAAUGUAGUGAAAGUGAACGCCAUAAAAUACAGGUGUUGAAGAAGACUAGUCCCAGUGUUGCUCAGGUAAUUGGAAAGUCGUACAGGUGAUAAAGAGGAGGUCGUACUAGUAUAUAUAAAAAAAAAAAAGACGAGCGAAGUAAGAGUAAUAUGCGAAGUACAAGUCAAGUCCUUAGAAUAAACAUGUUGGGAAAAAGUCGUUCUAAUUUGUGUAUGUCGUCCAGGGGGUA